GCGGAGGGAUCAUUAAAGAGUUCUAUAACUCCCAAACCCAUGUGAACAUACCUAACGUUGCCUCGGCAGGUCGCACCUACCUUGUAGCACCCUACCCUGUAGGGCCUACCCGGGAGGUGCGGGUAAGCCUGCCGGCGGCCCACCAAACUCUGUUUGAUAUUGAAUUCUGAACCUAUAACUAAAUAAGUUAAAACUUUCAACAACGGAUCUCUUGGUUCUGGCAUCGAUGAAGAACGCAGCGAAAUGCGAUAAGUAAUGUGAAUUGCAGAAUUCAGUGAAUCAUCGAAUCUUUGAACGCAUAUUGCGCCCAUUAGUAUUCUAGUGGGCAGGACCGUUCGAGCGUCAUUUCAACCCUUAAGCCUUCGUUGCUUAGUGUUGGGAGCCUACGGCAACGUAGCUCCUCAAAGUUAGUGGCGGAGUUGGUUCACACUCUAGACGUAGUAAUUUUUUAUCUCGCCUAUUAGUUGGACUAAUCCCCUGCCGUAAAACCCCCAAUUUAUCAAGGUUGACCUCGAAUCGGUUCAGACAAACUCGCUAAAUUGAAGCAUCUUAGUCAGCGAAGGAAAAGAAACCAACAGGGAUUGCCCUAGUAACGGCGAGUGAAGCGGCAACAGCUCAAAUUUGAAAUCUGGCCCUCGGGUCCGAGUUG
rnacentral:rRNA from 1 species